rnacentral:rRNA from 1 species
GACGAACGCGGGCGGCGUGCCUAAUACAUGCAAGUUGAGCGCUGAAGGUUGGUACUUGUACCAACUGGAUGAGCAGCGAACGGGUGAGUAACGCGUGGGGAAUCUGCCUUUGAGCGGGGGACAACAUUUGGAAACGAAUGCUAAUACCGCAUAAAAACUUUAAACACAAGUUUUAAGUUUGAAAGAUGCAAUUGCAUCACUCAAAGAUGAUCCCGCGUUGUAUUAGCUAGUUGGUGAGGUAAAGGCUCACCAAGGCGAUGAUACAUAGCCGACCUGAGAGGGUGAUCGGCCACAUUGGGACUGAGACACGGCCCAAACUCCUACGGGAGGCAGCAGUAGGGAAUCUUCGGCAAUGGACGAAAGUCUGACCGAGCAACGCCGCGUGAGUGAAGAAGGUUUUCGGAUCGUAAAACUCUGUUGGUAGAGAAGAACGUUGGUGAGAGUGGAAAGCUCAUCAAGUGACGGUAACUACCCAGAAAGGGACGGCUAACUACGUGCCAGCAGCCGCGGUAAUACGUAGGUCCCGAGCGUUGUCCGGAUUUAUUGGGCGUAAAGCGAGCGCAGGUGGUUUAUUAAGUCUGGUGUAAAAGGCAGUGGCUCAACCAUUGUAUGCAUUGGAAAACUGGUAGACUUGAGUGCAGGAGAGGAGAGUGGAAUUC